AGCAGUUUCAGGAAACAGGAAAAUAACUAUGUCAAUGUUCCUAAGUUAAUUAUUAAAUGUCAUUAUGAUGUGGUUAUACAGCUCAAAUCAGUUCAGGUUUUGUUCUUAUCUGACAGUGUCAGUGCAGUUAGUUUGAUCAUAUUUUCUGGCAGCUCUGUUCUGGCGUAAUUAAACAAACAAUGUGACGUGAUUCCAGUCUGCAUCAUGAGUGUGUUUUUAUUAUUCUGAAUCUUAUAUACACCUCCUUGACUGAAAACUGAAAUGCACCAGAGAGAAAUUAAGUUCAUUGCUGAGUUGUAGUCUUUCCGGGCAGCAUUCAGGCUUGACUGUUUGCAUGAUGAUCUUGCUAUUUGCGAUGUGGUCCUCGCUGCUCUUGACAUAACAGAUGAUAAAUAACUCUUGUGUUGUUUAAUCACAGCAACAAUGGCUUCACCGAGAGGCCACCAUCGGCGCAGAAGCAUGGAGGAACCGGUUAACAUGGCAUCUGAUGUUAUUCAUCUCAAAGAGGAAUUGACUAGACUUCAAAAGAACAAUUUUCCAGAAUGCAUCAAACAUAUAGAGAAAAUCAGUGAUCUCAUCGAUGAGUUUGACAAUGGUUACAGACUUACUAUUUAUGUCCUCAAAGGAGCAGUAAUAACUGGAGGAAUCACGAUGGUGUUGUUUGCUUUAUCAUUUUUUGUCACUGAUGAAGAGGUUUCUGAAUUUUUUUAUGCAGCAGGGGCAGCUACAGCUGUAGUUGCUGUAUUAAGUGUUGCUUUUGGGCUAAACAG